rnacentral:lncRNA from 1 species
CACCAAGCCUGCGAGCCCUGGCCACGAUGUGGGCUCUGCAAGGGGCUACGGACAGGCAGGGGGAGAGCCCGGGUUUGCGCACACCUUCCAGCCCCUGGAGGGAGCCUGCUCGGCUUCGAACGCCUUCGAACUUUUGACCUUCAAAGGAGUCCCUGGAAAAGGUCAGGAGCGCCUGCUGCAGGCACGGUUGCCGAAGGCCAGGCCUUCCUGGCGCAGGGGAGGGCCAGGGGAGGGAAGCGGAUACUCAGUCGCUGUCCGACGGCGAGUUUUCGGAGCAGCAGGCUCAUGAUCCAGGGCCAGUGGCGAGAGCAGUGACACCGAGAACCCAAAUCUCCGCGCCCGCAUCCGCGGCCCGGUGUCCUCCCGGCCCCUGCUGACCUCCAGAUCACGCACCCCACUGCUCCACGGCUCUGCAGCCUGUGGCACACGGCCGAGAGUCCCCACAUGAUCUCGACGCCAAGCGACCUUGGCCCUUAAUCGCCCAACGCCGAUUCCUCAAAAUUCCGGCUGCGCUGAAUCGGGCUGCUUUUGCCGCCGCCCCGGCAGUUGGGUCCUGUUUCCGCCGGCGCCCUGGGAGAGGCCUCACCACUCGGCUGGGCUCCCUGGCCCCUCCCUUCCCCUGGCCUGAGCGCCCCUGCGGCCUCCCGCUCCUCCUGAGAAGGCGACAAUCUCUUUGCACCUUAGUGUUUCGAGGACAGAAAGGGCAGAAGGGUCACUUCGGAGCCACUCACGCCGUUUUCAUGUGCGUGUGUAAUGGGGGGAGGGGAGCUCCCGGCUUUCCCCUUUUCAGCUCUUGGACCUGCAACACCGGGAGGGCGAGGACGCGGGACCAGCGCACCCUCGGAAGGCUCGAUCCUCCCCGGCAGGGCGCCUGGCCAACGAGUCGCGCCGCCUCCUCUCGGCCGC